GAGGUAGAACAGCCAAGUGAAAGAAGCCCCUGCUGUUUCCUGUUACCUGCAACACGCAGAAGCCUGCUCUCCUCCCUCUUUUUCCAUUUGUGUUCUCUUCCCAGUCUGUCUUGGUCUCUCUCUUUGUCUGUCUCUCUGUCCUCUCUAUCAUUGUCUCUAUCCUGCUCUGGCUCCCUCUUACCCUCCUUCCACCUCCCUUUCUCUCCUUCCAUCCCUCUCCCUAGUCUCCUUCCCUCUCUUUUCCUCAUCUCCCCCUCCUAUAUUUCUCUCUCUCCCAAGUUCCCCGUCUUCCCCACCCCCACUUCCUUAUACUGGCUCCCUUCCCACUGUCUCUCUCCUCUCCCUCUAGCUCUCCCUCUCCCUCUUUCUCCCUCUCUCUUUUCCGAGAUAUGGGUACAGGAUGCUGCGUAUACCGUCAAACUCCAUUAUUGCGUCCAUUACUUUUACCAAAGAUUUUCCCCCUCUCUUUUUAUUCUUUGUUUAAAAGGGAUAGCUCUCUGGGCAGGAAAGGUCUGGGGUGUAUUGGAAAGUGAAGACGUGGAUAAACAAAAGAUAUAGUGUGUGUCUGCUCCCUCAACUUGGCUUGGCACUCUAUAAUUGAAACUCCAACUGCCGGAUGGAACGGAGCUGUGCUGCUAGAUGCCACUAUUGAUGGCAGUGAAUGGGGAAGGAGAAAGAAAUCUCUUCUCCUCUCCCCCAACUCAGUGAGUUCCUCUCAAGAGCAACUCUUGCUGCUUCCUGGACUAGAUUGCCUCUCCAACUGCCUCACUUUUUAAUGGGUCACCUGGGAGCAUGGCCAGUCAAUUCUCAUCCAAUGCCAUCACUCCCUGAGUCAUACUUUGUAAAAGGAUAACAGAGUGUUAACAUCUAACAUUAACACAUCCUAUCCCCGGGGCUGGGGUUGGGGAACUAAAGCCCCCUCCAGUAUAAAACUAGUGCCGUCACUUCCCUUCCUUCUUUGCAGAGGUGAGUGGACUGUUCCAUAGAUUGGCAGACUAAGUAGCGCUGUUUGUUAGUUGUUUUUCAGUGUUACAGGGCAUGUCUCCAUGGUUGUGGGAGGGGAGAGAGAUGUUCAGAAAUGAGGGCACUGUCCAAACAGAAGAGAGCAAUCAUUUACAACAAAAUAAUGGGGAGCUGGGAAUAGUUUUGAACUGAUAGUUCUUUUCUGGUCUCAGUCCAAGUCCUUGAUGAUGGAUGCCCUUUCACUGCACCUUCUCCUUCUCAUUUCCAAGACCACGACUGAUUGAUCAUUCUCCUCUCUUCCAGAAUCACUAAAUUCCAAUGGCUCCAACCACCUUGAAAAUAAUGCGUAAAGUCCCUGUUUGGCUUUUCGAACAUGUCAUAACUUGGUCCCUUCCUUCCUUUCCAGACUCAUGAGACAUUCUAUUGAUGGCCCAACCACAGUGUCUUCUUGCUAGCCCUCCCAAACAGGACUCUAUUUUUUUCUCCCCAAGACUUAGAAUUGCCCAUCCUCAUGCCUGG
rnacentral:lncRNA from 1 species